rnacentral:rRNA from 1 species
AUUGAACGCUGGCGGCAUGCCUUACACAUGCAAGUCGAACGGCAGCACGGGCUUCGGCCUGGUGGCGAGUGGCGAACGGGUGAGUAAUGCAUCGGAAUGUACCCAGUAGUGGGGGAUAACUCGGCGAAAGUCGGGCUAAUACCGCAUACGCACUGAGGUGGAAAGCGGGGGAUCGCAAGACCUCGCGCUAUUGGAGCAGCCGAUGUCGGAUUAGCUAGUUGGUGGGGUAAAGGCCUACCAAGGCGACGAUCCGUACCUGGUCUGAGAGGACGACCAGGCACACUGGGACUGAGACACGGCCCAGACUCCUACGGGAGGCAGCAGUGGGGAAUUUUGGACAAUGGGCGAAAGCCUGAUCCAGCAAUGCCGCGUGUGUGAAGAAGGCCUUCGGGUUGUAAAGCACUUUUGUCCGGAAAGAAAUGGCCUGGGUUAAUACCCCGGGUCGAUGACGGUACCGGAAGAAUAAGCACCGGCUAACUACGUGCCAGCAGCCGCGGUAAUACGUAGGGUGCGAGCGUUAAUCGGAAUUACUGGGCGUAAAGCGUGCGCAGGCGGCGAUGCAAGACAGAUGUGAAAUCCCCGGGCUCAACCUGGGAACUGCAUUUGUGACUGCAUGGCUAGAGUGCGUCAGAG